CCUACGGGAGACAGCAGUGGGGAAUAUUGGGCAAUGGAGGAAACUCUGACCCAGCGACGCCGCGUGCGGGAUGAAGGCCUUCGGGUUGUAAACCGCUUUCAGUAGGGAAGAAGCGAAAGUGACGGUACCUACAGAAGAAGCACCGGCUAACUAUGUGCCAGCAGCCGCGGUAAUACAUAGGGUGCAAGCGUUGUCCGGAAUUAUUGGGCGUAAAGAGCUCGUAGGUGGUUCGUCACGUCGGAUGUGAAAAUCUGGGGCUCAACCCCAGACCUGCAUUCGAUACGGGCGAUCUAGAGUGUGGUAGGGGAGACUGGAAUUCCUGGUGUAGCGGUGGAAUGCGCAGAUAUCAGGAGGAACACCAAUGGCGAAGGCAGGUCUCUGGGCCAUUACUGACACUGAGGAGCGAAAGCGUGGGGAGCGAACAGGAUUAGAUACCCUGGUAGUCCACGCCGUAAACGGUGGGCACUAGUUGUGGGAACCUUCCACGGUUUCUGCGACGCAGCUAACGCAUUAAGUGCCCCGCCUGGGGAGUACGAUCGCAAGAUUAAAACUCAAAGGAAUUGACGG
rnacentral:rRNA from 1 species